rnacentral:ribozyme from 1 species
CAAUAAAAAAUUACAUGAAGGCGAAUGAGAUACUGUCGUUUUUUUUCACCAACUUUUUUUUUCAAGUUUCUUUUUCGACGUUUUUUUUUCUCGUGUUUGGACGAUGUCUCAAACAAUGAGGUCUGUCGAUACCGC